UCUCCUCAGAGAAUCUGAUGAUCUAAGCAGGCUUUGCUUUUACUGCGGGAUGGAGGAGCAGGAUGAAGAACAUUGGAUUUGCUGUGACAUUUGUCAGCAGUGGUACCACCACCAAUGUGUACAAAGGCCUCCAGUGGAUCAACCGU